GGGUUGUGAGGUUAAGCGACCAAGCGUACACGGUGGAUGCCCUGGCAGUCAGAGGCGAUGAAGGACGUGCUAAUCUGCGAAAAGCGCCGGUAAGGUGAUAUGAACCGUUAUAACCGGCGAUGUCCGAAUGGGGAAACCCAGUGUGACUCGUCACACUAUCAUUAACUGAAUCCAUAGGUUAAUGAGGCGAACCGGGGGAACUGAAACAUCUAAGUACCCCGAGGAAAAGAAAUCAACCGAGAUUCCCCCAGUAGCGGCGAGCGAACGGGGAGGAGCCCAGAGCCUGAAUCAGCAUGUGUGUUAGUGGAAGCGUCUGGAAAGGCGCGCGAUACAGGGUGACAGCCCCGUACACAAAAGCGCAUAUGCUGUGAGCUCGAUGAGUAGGGCGGGACACGUGGUAUCCUGUCUGAAUAUGGGGGGACCAUCCUCCAAGGCUAAAUACUCCUGACUGACCGAUAGUGAACCAGUACCGUGAGGGAAAGGCGAAAAGAACCCCGGCGAGGGGAGUGAAACAGAACCUGAAACCGUGUACGUACAAGCAGUGGGAGCCUCUCUUUAUGGGGGGUGACUGCGUACCUUUUGUAUAAUGGGUCAGCGACUUAUAUUCUGUAGCAAGGUUAACCGCAUAGGGGAGCCGAAGGGAAACCGAGUCUUAAUUGGGCGUUAAGUUGCAGGGUAUAGACCCGAAACCCGGUGAUCUAGCCAUGGGCAGGUUGAAGGUUGGGUAACACUAACUGGAGGACCGAACCGACUAAUGUUGAAAAAUUAGCGGAUGACCUGUGGCUGGGGGUGAAAGGCCAAUCAAACCGGGAGAUAGCUGGUUCUCCCCGAAAGCUAUUUAGGUAGCGCCUCGUGAACUCAUCUCCGGGGGUAGAGCACUGUUUCGGCUAGGGGGCCAUCCCGGCUUACCAACCCGAUGCAAACUGCGAAUACCGGAGAAUGUUAUCACGGGAGACACACGGCGGGUGCUAACGUCCGUCGUGAAGAG
rnacentral:rRNA from 1 species